UGGGAAAGGAGCUUCUGGGAGGGCCGCACGCCAGGGAGGACGUGCAAGGGCAGAGGCACCUUACCGGUGGGCUGCACGCUUUCCUGGAUGGCCUCGAUCUCCGCCAGUUCCAUGCACACGCCUUGCCCGUGCAUCAGUGUGUGCAGGGGCUUCUCCACUCCCCGGGGAGGGUAGCAGCGCAGGCCGGAGCCGCAGCGGGGGGUGUACACCCCGCAGGGCAUCCCCUUGCCCAGGGCGCAAGUGGCACAGCAGCCGCAGCCAGGCUCCCGCACCAGCUCCUCGCAGCCCACGGGGGGGCGGCAGCGAGCCAGCUUCUCCUCGGAGCAGGCCGGGCAGUGGAUGGCUUCGUCUCCCAGGCUCGGCCCGGGCCAGGCGGCCAGCAGCAGCGCGGCCACGAGGCAGAGGGGCAGCAUGAUCGGGCGAGGACGGGGCGCUGGCGCCAGGUGCGGGCGGGGAGCGCGGGCUGGCAGCGGGAGGCACACGGAAGCAGCGCCCGGCGCGCCUGGAGGACCGGAUCGGGAGAGUGGGGGAGACGGGGCGGCCCGCUAGCCCAGCGGACAGAGAAGGAGGCAGGGAAGUUAGCAAGCGGGCUGGAGAGCAGCGAUUCUGGCCACCGAGGCGCUGCGCCGCAUCCUCGGCCGGGUCCAGAAGGCGGGGGGAAGGG